UACGUAGGGUGCAAGCGUUGUCCGGAAUUAUUGGGCGUAAAGAGCUCGUAGGCGGUCUGUCGCGUCGGGAGUGAAAUCCUGGGGCUUAACCCCAGAACUGCUUCUGAUACGGGCAGACUAGAGGUAUGCAGGGGAGAACGGAAUUCCUGGUGUAGCGGUGAAAUGCGCAGAUAUCAGGAGGAACACCGGUGGCGAAGGCGGCACUCUGGGCCGGUACUGACGCUGAGGAGCGAAAGCGUGGGGAGCGAACAGG
rnacentral:rRNA from 1 species